rnacentral:rRNA from 1 species
GAUGAACGCUAGCGGCAGGCUUAAUACAUGCAAGUCGUGGGGCAGCAUGAGUAGCAAUACUUGAUGGCGACCGGCAAACGGGUGAGGAACACGUACACAACCUUCCUUCAAGCGGGGAAUAGCCCAGAGAAAUUUGGAUUAAUACCCCAUAAUAUAUUUGAUAAGGCAUCUUAUUAAUAUUAAAGCUUCGGCACUUGAUGAUGGGUGUGCGGCUGAUUAGAUAGUUGGCGGGGUUAACGGCCCACCAAGUCUACGAUCAGUAGCUGAUGUGAGAGCAUGAUCAGCCACACGGGCACUGAGACACGGGGCCCACGUCCUACGGGAGGCAGCAGU